rnacentral:tRNA from 1 species
GGCUUGUGGCUCAGUGGCAGGGCACUUGCCUGGCAUGUGUGAGGCACUGAGUUCAAUCCUCAGUACCA